CCUACGGGGGGCAGCAGUGGGGAAUAUUGCACAAUGGGCGCAAGCCUGAUGCAGCCAUGCCGCGUGUAUGAAGAAGGCCUUCGGGUUGUAAAGUACUUUCAGCGGGGAGGAAGGCGAUAAGGUUAAUAACCUUGUCGAUUGACGUUACCCGCAGAAGAAGCACCGGCUAACUCCGUGCCAGCAGCCGCGGUAAUACGGAGGGUGCAAGCGUUAAUCGGAAUUACUGGGCGUAAAGCGCACGCAGGCGGUCUGUCAAGUCGGAUGUGAAAUCCCCGGGCUCAACCUGGGAACUGCAUUCGAAACUGGCAGGCUGGAGUCUUGUAGAGGGGGGUAGAAUUCCAGGUGUAGCGGUGAAAUGCGUAGAGAUCUGGAGGAAUACCGGUGGCGAAGGCGGCCCCCUGGACAAAGACUGACGCUCAGGUGCGAAAGCGUGGGGAGCAAACAGGAUUAGAUACCCUAGUAGUC
rnacentral:rRNA from 1 species